AGUCAAGCGAGGACCGGUAGCCUACAUCACCACUGAGCUCCGUGAUCACAAGCUAGGGAGUGGUAAUGCUGGAUCAACGGGCUGGUGUGGAAGUCAAGCGGGGACUGGCAUGACACCGCGAGUCAACAAGCGCCAACAGAACCUAUUGUUCCUUUCCAUGAUCCAUUGGGUACCAGAGAACAGUCAUCAAUGGCGGGGAAGGGAAGUAAAGAUUAAUUAUUCUCCACCACAAGAUUGGUGCUCUAAAAUGAACGAAUGCCUUGCACUUCCUCAGGAAGACAAGUAAGAAAUUAAAAAAGAUCCCUAAAAGAGGACUCUUCAGUGGUUGGUCAGUCUGAUCACCUGAAGGCUCGGACGUGUUUCAUCAGCCGGAGCCAGAGGAAGAUGAUGACCACAGCGAAGAGGCGCAGGCUGUAGUCCCGCAGUGUUCCUCCAAGCAAGAAGAUGUCUGCCACAUGGAUCCCGAACACAGCCAUCAGCAGUAUGUACACCAGCCAAUCAAAGAUGUUCCUGUGACACAGCCAAAUGAGAUCCCAUCGUCUGCUUGCCAGUUAGGUGCUGUACCUCGGGCCACAUUGGGUGUGUGCAGCGCAGGUCAUCGUUGGUGCGAUGCUCACACCAACUCUGCCAGCUCCUUAGCUUCCUGCUGGAGCCUAUCAUCUCUGCCACUUCCCGGCCCACCUCCACCACUGUUAGCCCCAGAGCUACCACCACCCCAAACACACGCCACCAGUCCUGCAGGGAAAACAUAAGGCUCCUCGGUUCGGAUGACAGACACAGAGAUGGCCACGGUCGUCCAGGAGACUAUAAACAGGAAGUUAAGGAGUAGGAGUAUCCAAGCCCCCAACCUACAGAGACA